UUUUUGACAAAUCAGUUUCCUUUAGACUACACCUUCAAGCCACUUAAGGUUGCGUUUACAACAAAAAUUUAUCAUCUAAAUAUCAACAGUAAUGGCAGCAUUUAUCUUGAUAAUCUCAGAUCACAGUGUCUCCUGCUUUAACUAUUUCUAAUGUUCAUUUAUCCAUUUGUUCACUGCUAUGUGAUCCAAACCCUGAUGACCUCCUAGUGCCAGAGACUGCACAGAUCUAAAACAAAUAGUGAUAAAUACAACAGAAUAUCUUGGGAAUGGACUCAGAAGUAUGCCAUGUGA
rnacentral:lncRNA from 1 species